GCCUUGCUAGCUCAGUCAGUAGAGCAUAAGACUCUGAAUCAUAGGGUUAUGGGUUCAAGUCCCAUGUUGGGCG